AUGUGAAUUGCAGAAUUCAGUGAAUCAUCGAAUCUUUGAACGCACAUUGCGCCCGCCAGCAUUCUGGCGGGCAUGCCUGUUCGAGCGUCAUUUCAACCCUCGACUUCCCUUUGGGGAAAUCGGCGUUGGGGACUGGCAGCAUACCGCCGGCCCCGAAAUGGAGUGGCGGCCCGUCCGCGGCGACCUCUGCGUAGUAAUCCAACCUCGCACCGGAACCCCGACGUGGCCACGCCGUAAAACACCCCACUUUCUGAACGUUGACCUCGGAUCAGGUAGGAAUACCCGCUGAACUUAAGCAUAUCAAUAAGCGGAGGAA
rnacentral:rRNA from 1 species